GCUCAGUUGGUAGAGUACAAAGCUCUUAACCUUGUGGUCGUGGGUUCGAGCCUCAU
rnacentral:tRNA from 1 species